rnacentral:rRNA from 1 species
AUACGUAGGGAGCGAGCGUUGUCCGGAAUUACUGGGCGUAAAGGGCGCGUAGGCGGCGCUUCAAGUCGUCUGUCAAAUGGGAGGGCUUAACCCUUUUUCGCAGACGAAACUGGAGGGCUUGAGAAGCAGAGAGGCAAACAGAAUUCCUGGUGUAGCGGUGAAAUGCGUAGAUAUCAGGAAGAAUACCAGUGGCGAAGGCGGUUUGCUGGCUACAUACUGACGCUGAAGCGCGAAAGCCAGGGGAGCAAACGGGAUUAGAUACCCCGGUAGUCCUGGCAGUAAACGAUGUAUACUGGGUGUGAGACUUGCGAUAGUUUCGUGCCGAAGUUAACGCGAUAAGCAUACCGCCUGGGGAGUACGGUCGCAAGAUUGAAACUCAAAGGAAUUGGCGGGG